AUAUGUUAACGGUGCGGACUUGCGUACACAAGGCAUAGGUUCAAAGCUUGCAGAGUGAAGUGAAACUCAAUGAAGAGUGAGGAGAGACAAAACGAACCACAAAAAGGGUUUAUACGUCCAACAGCCUGGAAGGAUUCCUCUGUGCAUUGUUCUUCUUCUCCCUGCUCCUGACCAGCCGAGGGUACAGAAACUUGUAAGUGCACACCACCAGACAGGAACAGCUUCUUCCCCUCCAUUAUCAGGCUUCUGAACAGUCCUUCUGCAAGCCAGGGUACCGAUUCACCUCCACCCCAUUGUGGACAUUGGACUUCAUCUGCUUACUGAUGUGCUACAAUGCUGUGUACUAUAUUCUGCACUCUUUAUCUUCUCCUUUGCUAUAUCUAUUACACUUGAGUUUGACUUUAUUUUAUACAUUUAUAGUGUAACUAAUCUAUUUGGAGUGCUUGAAAAAUAAAGCUUUUCAUU